AACCAUCUGUGGCAUAGUGGCUUGUAUGUUGGACUGUGACUCUGGAGACCAGGGUUCGAUUCCCAGGUUGGCCA